AUGGCGACCGGCGCACGGGUGAGUAACACGUAUCCAACCUGCCGAUGACUCGGGGAUAGCCUUUCGAAAGAAAGAUUAAUACCCGAUGGCAUAGUUCUUCCGCAUGGUGGAACUAUUAAAGAAUUUCGGUCAUCGAUGGGGAUGCGUUCCAUUAGGUUGUUGGCGGGGUAACGGCCCACCAAGCCUUCGAUGGAUAGGGGUUCUGAGAGGAGGGUCCCCCACAUUGGAACUGAGACACGGUCCAAACUCCUACGGGAGGCAGCAUG
rnacentral:rRNA from 1 species